rnacentral:rRNA from 1 species
GGGUUGUGAGGUUAAGCGACUAAGCGUACACGGUGGAUGCCCUGGCAGUCAGAGGCGAUGAAGGACGUGCUAAUCUGCGAUAAGCGUCGGUAAGGUGAUAUGAACCGUUAUAACCGGCGAUUUCCGAAUGGGGAAACCCAGUGUGUUUCGACACACUAUCAUUAACUGAAUCCAUAGGUUAAUGAGGCGAACCGGGGGAACUGAAACAUCUAAGUACCCCGAGGAAAAGAAAUCAACCGAGAUUCCCCCAGUAGCGGCGAGCGAACGGGGAGCAGCCCAGAGCCUGAAUCAGUGUGUGUGUUAGUGGAAGCGUCUGGAAAGGCGCGCGAUACAGGGUGACAGCCCCGUACACAAAAAUGCACAUGCUGUGAGCUCGAUGAGUAGGGCGGGACACGUGGUAUCCUGUCUGAAUAUGGGGGGACCAUCCUCCAAGGCUAAAUACUCCUGACUGACCGAUAGUGAACCAGUACCGUGAGGGAAAGGCGAAAAGAACCCCGGCGAGGGGAGUGAAAAAGAACCUGAAACCGUGUACGUACAAGCAGUGGGAGCACGCUUAGGCGUGUGACUGCGUACCUUUUGUAUAAUGGGUCAGCGACUUAUAUUCUGUAGCAAGGUUAACCGAAUAGGGGAGCCGAAGGGAAACCGAGUCUUAACUGGGCGUUAAGUUGCAGGGUAUAGACCCGAAACCCGGUGAUCUAGCCAUGGGCAGGUUGAAGGUUGGGUAACACUAACUGGAGGACCGAACCGACUAAUGUUGAAAAAUUAGCGGAUGACUUGUGGCUGGGGGUGAAAGGCCAAUCAAACCGGGAGAUAGCUGGUUCUCCCCGAAAGCUAUUUAGGUAGCGCCUCGUGAAUUCAUCUCCGGGGGUAGAGCACUGUUUCGGCAAGGGGGUCAUCCCGACUUACCAACCCGAUGCAAACUGCGAAUACCGGAGAAUGUUAUCACGGGAGACACACGGCGGGUGCUAACGUCCGUCGUGAAGAGGGAAACAACCCAGACCGCCAGCUAAGGUCCCAAAGUCAUGGUUAAGUGGGAAACGAUGUGGGAAGGCCCAGACAGCCAGGAUGUUGGCUUAGAAGCAGCCAUCAUUUAAAGAAAGCGUAAUAGCUCACUGGUCGAGUCGGCCUGCGCGGAAGAUGUAACGGGGCUAAACCAUGCACCGAAGCUGCGGCAGCGACGCUUAUGCGUUGUUGGGUAGGGGAGCGUUCUGUAAGCCUGCGAAGGUGUGCUGUGAGGCAUGCUGGAGGUAUCAGAAGUGCGAAUGCUGACAUAAGUAACGAUAAAGCGGGUGAAAAGCCCGCUCGCCGGAAGACCAAGGGUUCCUGUCCAACGUUAAUCGGGGCAGGGUGAGUCGACCCCUAAGGCGAGGCCGAAAGGCGUAGUCGAUGGGAAACAGGUUAAUAUUCCUGUACUUGGUGUUACUGCGAAGGGGGGACGGAGAAGGCUAUGUUGGCCGGGCGACGGUUGUCCCGGUUUAAGCGUGUAGGCUGGUUUUCCAGGCAAAUCCGGAAAAUCAAGGCUGAGGCGUGAUGACGAGGCACUACGGUGCUGAAGCAACAAAUGCCCUGCUUCCAGGAAAAGCCUCUAAGCAUCAGGUAACAUCAAAUCGUACCCCAAACCGACACAGGUGGUCAGGUAGAGAAUACCAAGGCGCUUGAGAGAACUCGGGUGAAGGAACUAGGCAAAAUGGUGCCGUAACUUCGGGAGAAGGCACGCUGAUAUGUAGGUGAAGUCCCUCGCGGAUGGAGCUGAAAUCAGUCGAAGAUACCAGCUGGCUGCAACUGUUUAUUAAAAACACAGCACUGUGCAAACACGAAAGUGGACGUAUACGGUGUGACGCCUGCCCGGUGCCGGAAGGUUAAUUGAUGGGGUCAGCGCAAGCGAAGCUCUUGAUCGAAGCCCCGGUAAACGGCGGCCGUAACUAUAACGGUCCUAAGGUAGCGAAAUUCCUUGUCGGGUAAGUUCCGACCUGCACGAAUGGCGUAAUGAUGGCCAGGCUGUCUCCACCCGAGACUCAGUGAAAUUGAACUCGCUGUGAAGAUGCAGUGUACCCGCGGCAAGACGGAAAGACCCCGUGAACCUUUACUAUAGCUUGACACUGAACAUUGAGCCUUGAUGUGUAGGAUAGGUGGGAGGCUUUGAAGUGUGGACGCCAGUCUGCAUGGAGCCGACCUUGAAAUACCACCCUUUAAUGUUUGAUGUUCUAACGUUGACCCGUAAUCCGGGUUGCGGACAGUGUCUGGUGGGUAGUUUGACUGGGGCGGUCUCCUCCUAAAGAGUAACGGAGGAGCACGAAGGUUGGCUAAUCCUGGUCGGACAUCAGGAGGUUAGUGCAAUGGCAUAAGCCAGCUUGACUGCGAGCGUGACGGCGCGAGCAGGUGCGAAAGCAGGUCAUAGUGAUCCGGUGGUUCUGAAUGGAAGGGCCAUCGCUCAACGGAUAAAAGGUACUCCGGGGAUAACAGGCUGAUACCGCCCAAGAGUUCAUAUCGACGGCGGUGUUUGGCACCUCGAUGUCGGCUCAUCACAUCCUGGGGCUGAAGUAGGUCCCAAGGGUAUGGCUGUUCGCCAUUUAAAGUGGUACGCGAGCUGGGUUUAGAACGUCGUGAGACAGUUCGGUCCCUAUCUGCCGUGGGCGCUGGAGAACUGAGGGGGGCUGCUCCUAGUACGAGAGGACCGGAGUGGACGCAUCACUGGUGUUCGGGUUGUCAUGCCAAUGGCACUGCCCGGUAGCUAAAUGCGGAAGAGAUAAGUGCUGAAAGCAUCUAAGCACGAAACUUGCCCCGAGAUGAGUUCUCCCUGACUCCUUGAGAGUCCUGAAGGAACGUUGAAGACGACGACGUUGAUAGGCCGGGUGUGUAAGCGCAGCGAUGCGUUGAGCUAACCGGUACUAAUGAACCGUGAGGCUUAACCUUACAACGCCGAAG